rnacentral:lncRNA from 1 species
GAGUAACUAGGUGAAACUGAAAACAAUCACAGAUGGAAUAGAAAUGUGAUCAGUUUGUAUACAGACUAAUUUUGUGCAUAGAAAUUAAACCCUCUGCCCAGACUUCUUGCCUAAUCUGUCAAUUUGGGGUUGUUUCUGAUAACACAACGGUUCUUUUUAGCUCUUAAGAGCACAGACUCAGCUCAGCAGUACCAGCUUUUCUCAGACUGAGUGGCAUGAGAGAUUUCAACACAUGUGUCAGCAGCCAGACUAACUGUGAAAAGAAUCACUGAACCAUAUGAAAAUGGAAAGCUCAACCACCAGACUUCUCCUGAGAGAGUAUCAGCCUAUGAUCAUUACAUGUCUUCUACUUAGCAAUCAAAAGUAAAUAAGACUGUUGGAGCCUCUUCUGUAUGAAACACAUGGCGACUUUACAUACAUCAAUUAAUAAAGCUUCAGGACCCCUACCAGGUAAAUUUUAAUAAAACCCAGGAGUCCUA